UGCCCGGAGCUCAGAGGCUGCUCAGCCUACAGGGCUGGCCUGCCAGCUGUCCAUCACCUCUCCCAGGCACCACCACACCGUGUCUGGACUGUUUGAGAUGGGAAAUUUAAGUGGAUAGGAAGGUAGGGGGUCAGCCAAGGAUGUUGUCUCCUUCGUCCCCUCAUAUAUACUUGCUACCACCAGCCCCAAACAGACACAAGCUGACCAGUGCUGCCAGCCAUGAUGUGCUGCCUUCACCGUGGUUCUACAAACAAGAGGCCCAACCGUCUCCACAAGUGUGAGCCACGACAGAACUUUCAUCCAUGGAUCAUUUCAAGUGGUUUGUUGUAGCCUGGAAAGCCGACCAACACAACUGCCCCACCAUUCUGAGGUUCAGGCUCCUUAUCUCUGAGAGAGGGCUUCAAAGUACCUUACAGAGUUGAAAGAGGACUCCAUUAAAUGCUGUCAAAUGUGUUGGAAUCUCCAAAUAAUUAAUUCUGAUAAUAAUGACCAGAAGGCCAACUGUGGGGAAAGUUCUGCACGGAGUCAAUGGCUGCAAGGUCCGCGGAUGUGGUGUCUCCAGCUCCUCCAGCCCAGCCCCAUCCCUGCUGACCUCCCUUCUGUGUGGUCAAGCUGCCUGUGCUCCUGCUGGCUGGUGCUGACCAUGGCAUGCUGGCUCCUCAGCUGCCUGUGUGGACCAGGCACAAACUUGGGAUUCUGCUGUCGGGCCCCAUCUCAGGCUGGGAUGCCACUGGCUCUGCAGCUGUCUGCCCUGCACUCUCCUCCCAGGGUCUGCAGCUCCCAGGCUAUCUCCAUGUCUCUUCCGGACCAGCAGAUGUUUCCAAGACACCACUGAGGUCUGGCAGGUGACCCCUCUCUUGGGACAGCCACACAGCAGACAGGCUGAUGAUCAGGCCCCCUGUGCCACCUCCCCUCCUCAGCCCCUGGCUCUGGAGUGACCUAGGUGUGUCUUCUGGCUUUGCAUGCUUAACCCCAGCUUGUCACAGCACAGUGCAGGGCUCAUAUGGACCCAUGAGAUGCCCAGCACCUCCCAGCACUGGUCCUUGGUGUGGGGUUUGUGCCCAUCACUCAUGCCAGUCUCAGACACACAGCUUUGCGCCGUCAUACAUGUUCCUCAGUGUCAUAUCUGGGAUCCAGCAGCUAGGCCAAGCACUGGCCCCGGCAUAGCACCAGCUCACAUCAGGAGGUUGCAAGAAGGGGAUUAUCUUGGAGGCUGAAUUUCCUCCUGGAGUCUGCAAUGGUCUAGAGGUGUUGCUGAGCUCACACAGCAAAAUAUAGCCAGGAGCAAAAUACAGGGUCAGGACCAAGGCUUCGCUUCCCAGGGUAGAUCAAAGGUGGCUUGUCCAGUCUACGAUGAGCACUUAGUUUGCCCCCUGGCCCCUAGCAGUGCUUGAGGACAGGGAUACUAAGUCCCAGUGCCAUGGAGCCAGGUUAGGGCAGGAGCUGGAGCUCACUGGCCCUUGGUGUUGAACAGAUGAAGUUAGACUGAGGUGUCCUGGCAUUCUACCUGGUUGCCCAGUCUCUAGGUGUUUCCAAGUGGCUGCUAUCUCCACCUGUCCUGGCAGAGGGGGCUGUGGGAGCUGUUUCCUGACACCAGCUGCGACUGCAGGUGACUUCAAGAACAGAGUUCAGGGUACUCUAACUGCAGCCUGGCCUCAGGGCCGUGACGGGCAUGAACAAAGACAUGCAAAGAGCCGGGUAAUCGUGGAAAUUAAUAAUGGUAACUAAUGGCUGGGUGCUUACAGAGACCAUGGCAACGGGAACGAGUUCCCUCCUGCAGGCUGGUUCCAGAGCCUGUUUCUUUGUAAACAAUCUGCAUUUGUUUGUGAAAAUCCAUGGGGCCCAAGGUCUUUGAGAGGAAAAUAGUAUUGAAGGGAGCUGGUGUUGGUCUGGAUCCUCUCAUCUCUUCCUUUCCACACCAUUAAGCAUCUCCCUUGGGGAACCCGCACCCGUUUCUUGUCUAGGAAGAGAGAGAGUGAAUCCCAGUUCAGCUUGUGGAGGGUCAGUGCAGCAACACCCAUGAGAGGAAGACGGGCUCUGGCCAGGUGGGUUCUGGUGUGGCCCUGGGGCAAAUCAUCAGUUGCUCAGAGCCUUCGUUCCUUCAUCUGCAAAAUGGGGGUAAGGAUGAUAGCACCCUUAAUAACACAUCAUCAUCAUCGCUGCAAUAUUUAUGUAUUACCUACAGCACCCCGGUGAUGAAAUGUUGAUGAGUCCCUCUCUGUCCAUAAUAUUAUAAGUAACAUUUAUUGGCUGUAGUUGUAGACCUUUUAUAUGUGUCUCUUCAUUUAAUUCCCUUAAUAGGUCUAAGAAGUAGGUGUUAUAAUUAUUCCUAUUUUAUGGAGGAGGAGGCUAAGGUUUAGAGUUUGGUGAUGGUGUGAAGUAGAACUCUAAGACGUCACCUGGGG